rnacentral:lncRNA from 1 species
AAAACGGGAGGGAAAAGAAAAAAAGGUAAAGAAAGAAAGAAAUGGCUCGAAUCGAAAGUGCUUCAAUUUGGUUAAUUUUUGCAGUACUUUCGGUUUUGAGCAACAAGAUCCAUAUUGCGGAAGGGAAUAAGAUAUACAAUGAUUGUCGCCAUUAUUGUAAAAAUGAUUUGAAAAAAGAUGCUCUUACCUGCUGGAUUUGGUGUAACAUGAGAUGC